rnacentral:rRNA from 1 species
UACGGGGGGGGCAAGCGUUGUUCGGAAUUACUGGGCGUAAAGGGCUCGUAGGUGGCCAAUUAAGUCAGGCGUGAAAUCCCCAGGCUCAACUUGGGAACUGCGUCUGAUACUGGUUGGCUUGAAUUCGGGAGAGGGAUGCAGAAUUCCAGGUGUAGCGGUGAAAUGCGCAGAUAUCAGGAGGAACACCAAUGGCGAAGGCAGCUCGCUGGAACGGUACUGACGCUGAGGCGCGAAAGCGUGGGGAGCAAACAGG